GUGAAUAUUUCGAGAAAUAAUUGGAACUGGAUUAAAAGGGGUUUUGAAUAAGAAAGUGUGUUUCUUUCCCAAUAAUUCCAUACCAAAACGGUUUUUGUACCUCAAAAACUCUCUGAGUUAGAGGCAAUUUUGUCCCUCAAGGUCCAAGACCGACCAAAUUUGAGCUUUUCAUACUCAUAUUGCGACACCAAGAUUUUUAGGUAUCACUGGACAUUUUUGGGUAUAACUUGGGAACCACUGGGAAUAUUUUCAUGAUUUUUUCACAGUAAGGAGUGAGAUUCCUGAGGAUGGAUUUGAGGGUAAAAACGUCGUUCUAAACAAAA